GGAAGAACAAAAUGCUUCUUCCCAAGGAACUAUGCAAAAAAAAUUCUGCAACACACCAGUGAUCUAAUAGAGGCAGGUGCAACAUCACAAAGGCCUGCUGUGACCAUGAAAAACCAAAAAGAUGUCAACUGUACCCCACAAAAAAAAAGACAGGAAAACAAGAUAUACAUGCUAUCAGUGUAAGUGAGGCUUGUGUAUGAAAUAGGCAGUUUUCAUGUGUGAAGACUUCCAUGAGUAUGACAACUGAAGCAAAGAUUAUUUCUAUGAUCCUCCCUUCAUUUGAUGGAUGAAGAAGGCAAGAAAAUAUCUUGCAAGUGUCCACUCUGAGAUGCUAGACAAACACAACUCCCGUUAUCAAGGGGCUUUCUGCUUCUCCCAAAAUACCAGUCCAAAUGCCACACCAAGGAGCAUGUAAAAAGAAUAUUUUUGCAGAACCUAUGCUUAACACAGAUUGAUUCAAGGAUCAAAGCUGAUGCCAUUGAUUUUGAGCUCACACAAAGUGCUCUCCACUCAGAUUUAAGCUCUCCCUACACACAGACCCCGACAUGGUCCACGGUAAUCCAGUCAACAACCACCCAGGGAUUGUUAUUACAGGGGGCAAUGCCCUGGGCUGAAGGGGGCUCAGUCUCCAGGUUCACAGAGCUCCUUCCAGGGGAGGAUCUCUAGGGUAGGAAAGGUAAACACACAAAUGAAUAAAUGAUAUAUAAUUCACAUAGCAAGUACAAGGAAGGUAAGGAAUGACCAUUCUCACAGCUUCAGUACA
rnacentral:lncRNA from 1 species